GUGAUUCCUUGGCAGCACAUAUACUAAAAUUGGAACAAUACAGACAAGAUUAGCAUGGUCUCUGCACAUGGAUGGCAUGCAAACAAAAGAAGAAAGAAUCUC
rnacentral:snRNA from 1 species